UGCGCAGGCGGGCUUGUAAGUCAGUGGUGAAAUACUGCCGCUUAACGGUAGAACUGCCAUUGAUACUGCAAGUCUUGAAUAUGGUUGAGGUAGGCGGAAUGUGUUGUGUAGCGGUGAGAUGCAUAGAUAUGACACAGAACGCCAAUUGCGAAGGCAGCUUACUAAGCCAUUAUUGACGCUGAGGCACGAAAGCGUGGGGAGCGAACAGGAUUAGAUACCCUGGUAGUCC
rnacentral:rRNA from 1 species